AGCGAACGCUGGCGGCAGGCUUAACACAUGCAAGUCGAACGGGCACUUCGGUGUCAGUGGCAGACGGGUGAGUAACACGUGGGAACGUACCCUUCGGUUCGGAACAACUCUGGGAAACUGGAGCUAAUACCGGAUACGCCCUUUUGGGGAAAGGUUUACUGCCGAAGGAUCGGCCCGCGUCUGAUUAGCUAGUUGGUGGGGUAAUGGCCUACCAAGGCGACGAUCAGUAGCUGGUCUGAGAGGAUGAUCAGCCACAUUGGGACUGAGACACGGCCCAAACUCCUACGGGAGGCAGCAGUGGGGAAUAUUGGACAAUGGGCGCAAGCCUGAUCCAGCCAUGCCGCGUGUGUGAUGAAGGCCUUAGGGUUGUAAAGCACUUUCGACGGGGACGGAUAAUGACGGUACCCGUACGAAGAAGCCCCGGCUAACUUCGU
rnacentral:rRNA from 1 species